rnacentral:rRNA from 1 species
GUAACAGAGAGUAGCUUGCUACUUUGCUGACGAGCGGCGGACGGGUGAGUAAUGCUUGGGAACAUGCCUUGAGGUGGGGGACAACAGUUGGAAACGACUGCUAAUACCGCAUAAUGUCUACGGACCAAAGGGGGCUUCGGCUCUCGCCUUUAGAUUGGCCCAAGUGGGAUUAGCUAGUUGGUGAGGUAAUGGCUCACCAAGGCGACGAUCCCUAGCUGGUUUGAGAGGAUGAUCAGCCACACUGGGACUGAGACACGGCCCAGACUCCUACGGGAGGCAGCAGUGGGGAAUAUUGCACAAUGGGCGCAAGCCUGAUGCAGCCAUGCCGCGUGUGUGAAGAAGGCCUUCGGGUUGUAAAGCACUUUCAGUCAGGAGGAAAGGUUAACGGUUAAUACCCGCUAGCUGUGACGUUACUGACAGAAGAAGCACCGGCUAACUCCGUGCCAGCAGCCGCGGUAAUACGGAGGGUGCGAGCGUUAAUCGGAAUUACUGGGCGUAAAGCGUACGCAGGCGGUUUGUUAAGCGAGAUGUGAAAGCCCCGGGCUCAACCUGGGAACUGCAUUUCGAACUGGCAAACUAGAGUGUGAUAGAGGGUGGUAGAAUUUCAGGUGUAGCGGUGAAAUGCGUAGAGAUCUGAAGGAAUACCGAUGGCGAAGGCAGCCACCUGGGUCAACACUGACGCUCAUGUACGAAAGCGUGGGGAGCAAACGGGAUUAGAUACCCCGGUAGUCCACGCCGUAAACGAUGUCUACUAGAAGCUCGGAGCCUCGGUUCUGUUUUUCAAAGCUAACGCAUUAAGUAGACCGCCUGGGGAGUACGGCCGCAAGGUUAAAACUCAAAUGAAUUGACGGGGGCCCGCACAAGCGGUGGAGCAUGUGGUUUAAUUCGAUGCAACGCGAAGAACCUUACCUACACUUGACAUACAGAGAACUUACCAGAGAUGGUUUGGU